CCCUUAGAUGUUCUGGGCCGCACGCGCGCUACACUGAUGCAUUCAACGAGUUUCUUCCUGGUCCGAGAGGAAUGGGUAACCUUUUGAAAGUGCAUCGUGAUAGGGAUAGACUAUUGCAAUUAUUGGUCUUCAACGAGGAAUUCCUAGUAGAAGUAGUUCAUCAGACUGCAUCGAUUACGUCCCUGCCCUUUGUACACACCGCCCGUCGCUCCUACCGAUUGAAUGCUCAGGUGAGCCAUUCGGACUUUCAUCAUGCUGGUUUCCAGUUUUGAUGAAGGAAAGUCUUGCGAACCUUAUCAUUUAGAGGAAGGAGAAGUCGUAACA
rnacentral:rRNA from 1 species